rnacentral:rRNA from 1 species
UGGGGAAUAUUGCACAAUGGGCGCAAGCCUGAUGCAGCCAUGCCGCGUGUAUGAAGAAGGCCUUCGGGUUGUAAAGUACUUUCAGCGAGGAGGAAGGGGUUAAGGUUAAUAACCUUGGCCAUUGACGUUACUCGCAGAAGAAGCACCGGCUAACUCCGUGCCAGCAGCCGCGGUAAUACGGAGGGUGCAAGCGUUAAUCGGAAUUACUGGGCGUAAAGCGCACGCAGGCGGUCUGUCAAGUCGGAUGUGAAAUCCCCGGGCUCAACCUGGGAACUGCAUCCGAAACUGGCAGGCUUGAGUCUCGUAGAGGGGGGUAGAAUUCCAGGUGUAGCGGUGAAAUGCGUAGAGAUCUGGAGGAAUACCGGUGGCGAAGGCGGCCCCCUGGACGAAGACUGACGCU